rnacentral:lncRNA from 1 species
GGGGUCUGUUUAAACACGUUCUCCUCCUUCAAGGGUUUCACUUUGCCUGAGAGAAUCUCUCGAUUCCUCUCCUCUUCUCCGAGAGCUCCAGCUUCCUCUAGCAUCCUUCUCAGCUUCCUCUAGCAUCCUUCUCGGCCUUAGGCAUCCUCCGGGUUGACUUCCAUCGUCCUUGCCAUCUUCCUACACUCUUGGGGUCAAUCUAAGUUAGUUCCAGAACUUCUUAUCAUUUUUCUAUCCUUUCUUCUUCGUAUUCUAUUUGUUUAGCUUCCUCGAGGGCUUGUUUGCUAUUUUUCCCAAUUUCUCCAGGAUUUUGUGGCUUCCAUUUGAUCUAAAAUGUCUUUUGAUAUCUCCUC